rnacentral:sRNA from 2 species
ACGUGCCACGCGUCCACUCCGGUUCUCCGUACCGUCCGCACCCACCUGGCGACUGCUCGAUACGUGUUGUCAGCC